AGUCGAGCGGAGAGGGAGCUUGCUCUGGAUUCAGCGGCGGACGGGUGAGUAAAGGCAAGGAAUCUGCCUGGUAGUGGGGGAUAACGUCCGGAAAGGGCGCUAAUACCGCAUACGUCCUGAGGGAGAAAGUGGGGGAUCUUCGGACCUCACGCUAUCAGAUGAGCCUAGGUCGGAUUAGCUAGUUGGUGGGGUAAAGGCCUACCAAGGCGACGAUCCGUAACUGGUCUGAGAGGAUGAUCAGUCACACUGGAACAGAGACACGGUCCAGACUCCUACGGGAGGCAGCAGUGGGGAAUAUUGGACAAUGGGCGAAAGCCUGAUCCAGCCAUGCCGCGUGUGUGAAGAAGGUCUUCGGAUUGUAAAGCACUUUAAGUUGGGAGGAAGGGCAGUAAGUUAAUACCUUGCUGUUUUGAUGUUACCAACAGAAUAAGCACCGGCUAACUUCGUGCCAGCAGCCGCGGUAAUACGAAGGGUGCAAGCGUUAAUCGGAAUUACUGGGCGUAAAGCGCGCGUAGGUGGUUCAGCAAGUUGGAUGUGAAAUCCCCGGGCUCAACCUGGGAACUGCAUCCAAAACUACUGAGCUAGAGUACGGUAGAGGGUGGUGGAAUUUCCUGUGUAGCGGUGAAAUGCGUAGAUAUAGGAAGGAACACCAGUGGCGAAGGCGACCACCUGGACUGAUACUGACCACUGAUGUGCGAAAGCGUGGGAGCAAACAGGAUUAGAUACCCUGGUAGUCCACGCCGUAACCGAUGUCGACUAGCCGUUGGGAUCCUUGAGAUCUUAUGGCGCAGCUACCCGAUAAGUCGACCGCCUGGGGAGGUACGCCCGCAAGGUUAAACUCAAAUGAUUGACGGGGGCCGCACAAGCGGUGGAGCAUCUGGUGUAAUUCGAAGCAACGUGAAGACCUUACCUGGCCUUGAACUUGCGUGAACUUUCCAGAGAUGGAUUGGUGCCUUCGGGAACUCAGACACAGGUGCUGCAUGGCUGUCGUCAGCUCGUGUCGUGAGAUGUUGGGUUAAGUCCCGUAACGAGCGCAACCCUUGUCCUUAGUUACCAGCACCUCGGGUGGGCACUCUAAGGAGACUGCCGGUGACAAACCGGAGGAAGGUGGGGAUGACGUCAAGUCAUCAUGGCCCUUACGGCCAGGGCUACACACGUGCUACAAUGGUCGGUACAAAGGGUUGCCAAGCCGCGAGGUGGAGCUAAUCCCAUAAAACCGAUCGUAGUCCGGAUCGCAGUCUGCAACUCGACUGCGUGAAGUCGGAAUCGCUAGUAAUCGUGAAUCAGAAUGUCACGGUGAAUACGUUCCCGGGCCUUGUACACACCGCCCGUCAAGCCGUGGGAGUGGGUUGCUCCAGAAGUAGCUAGUCUAACCGCAAGGG
rnacentral:rRNA from 1 species